UACGGAAGGCAGCAGUGGGGAAUAUUGCACAAUGGGCGCAAGCCUGAUGCAGCCAUGCCGCGUGUAUGAAGAAGGCCUUCGGGUUGUAAAGUACUUUCAGUCGUGAGGAAGGUGUUAAGGUUAAUAACCUUAGCAAUUGACGUUAGCGACAGAAGAAGCGCCGGCUAACUCCGUGCCAGCAGCCGCGGUAAUACGGAGGGUGCGAGCGUUAAUCGGAAUUACUGGGCGUAAAGGGCACGCAGGCGGUUAAUUAAGUUGGAUGUGAAAUCCCCGGGCUUAACCUGGGAAUGGCAUUCAAGACUGGUUAGCUAGAGUCUUGUAGAGGGGGUAGAAUUCCAUGUGUAGCGGUGAAAUGCGUAGAGAUGUGGAGGAAUCCGGGUGGCGAAGGCGGCCCCUGGGACAAAGGCUGACGCUCAUGUGCGAAAGCGUGGGGAGCAAACAGGGAUUAGAUACC
rnacentral:rRNA from 1 species